rnacentral:rRNA from 1 species
UACAGAGGUCUCGAGCGUUGUUCGGAUUCAUUGGGCGUAAAGGGUGCGUAGGCGGACUAGUAAGUCAGUGGUGAAAGCCCAUCGCUUAACGGUGGAACUGCCAUUGAUACUGCUAGUCUUGAGUAUGGUUGAGGUGGGCGGAAUGUGUCAUGUAGCGGUGAAAUGCUUAGAUAUGACCCAGAACACCAAUUGCGAAGGCAGCUCGCUAAGCCAUAACUGACGCUGAUGCACGAAAGCGUGGGGAGUAAACAGG